CUGUGGCUAAUGCUACGUUUCCCUUCAGUUUUCCCAUUGCAUGUAUUUUCUUAUUGUAGAAAUAAAAUCUGUUUUAUAUUAUCAUUAUUUUUGGUAAUUGGGGAUGGUAACGAGCAGGUAGAAGUACAACUGAGCCCGACUUUACCUGUAAUGUGGUGAUGAGUGUGUUUUAUUUUGGUACUCUGGUAAUAAUCACCUCCAGCGUGUACAGUGUCAUUCCCUACAGAAGGCUGGAUGUUCUCAAAGCUGUAGUAUUUACGUCUGUGAAGUUUUUCUCUACACGGUGUGUUUUUUGAAACUACUUUUAAGGUUUUGAUGAUGGGUUUGAAAAUGCACAAUUUUAUUUUCUCUGAAUGGCAAUGUGAGCAAUACAAAAUUACACAUCACUCUCGGUGGGAGAUUGACUGAAGAGAUCGGACAGGAUUCAGAUCCAUUCGUACUGAAUCCAACACUGAGCAUGCAAAGCAUCUUGCCUGCGUCUCUGAAUAUGAUCUGUGUGCUCCGUUCUUUAUGUGAAGAUUGUUUCCGUGCUACAGCCACAGUUGGAGCUUUCAGGCUGCCUGGAGGGGCUGUAUUGAUAAUAUCCUAGCCUGCAAGGCUCAAUCCAUCCCCUGGGGCGCUCAGCAGCAAGUGGAUGAAGAGUCCCCGGACGGUCUUUUGGCUCCACCGCUAGACAUUGCAACAGAGGAAGAGAUCUGAACUCGUUCGAGUGCAGCAGAGCGAGGGGCAGAGAGCAGUGAUCACAGACGAGGUGAGGAGAUGUAUGAGGGAAGGGAUGGAGAGACGGGGAAAAGAAAGGAGAGGAAAUGACAGCCUGCGCCAAGGAACGUCCUGCUCUCUUCUCUCCCAUCAGAAGUGCUAAUCCAACCAGCGGAGGUGCAGACCACCGCUCACAUCUGCCUUCUCCUCUCCAUCUUGUUAGGGACCAGAUGGGAGAGAAAGUGACUUCCCGCUGUACUUCCACUACAUGGCUUGUUCCCUCACAUUAAUACCUUCGCUGCUCAGCUCCAUUUGUUACACACACUCCAGACACACACUCAGGGGGAGCCUCGGGCUGUGAAUGAUGGCCAUAUGCAGAACUGCGCUCAUCUAUAACCCCCCGUGGCUGCAACAAAGUACAGUAGGCACCUUGAGUGUUUCAACAAAGGUUAACAUUUAGAAGUUCUGCGGGCCUGUCUGAUUCGGCAUCUCUGUGUAGUGUGCUCAGCUGAGCCGUAAAAAGUUAUCAAACUGGGUUUGUAGGUAGAAGGUCACUGGUUUAAAUUCACAUGUGUGUGUGUGAGUAAAAAUCCAUCAGGAAAAGUGAACAAGUAACUCAGCAACCGCUUCAAGCAACCGCUGUGAGAAGUCACGUGACUGCUCUGCAUCCAACAGCAGCCAGCAGUCGCCGCACAGCUUCCAGGUGUGAGAGCGUGUUAAUAUGUAAUUUGGAAACAAAGCAGAGUGGAAAAGCGUGCAUGCUCAGCACAACAUUUCCCCUGAUAGUUAUAAAAAGAAAAAUACAACACAGCUGAUGAGACGAGCGAGCGCCCGUUAACGACCAGCUCACCAUUAAAAUGAAUGAAACCAACAACGACCCGCAAACCAGGGGUGUGUAGAUUAGUACACAACGAGUGGCGUCGCGAACAACUGUGUGUGCA
ensembl:lncRNA